rnacentral:tRNA from 1 species
GCCCGGAUGGCGGAACUGGUAGACGCAAGGGACUUAAAAUCCCUCGCCCCUAGGGUGUGCGAGUUCGAUUCUCGCUCCGGGCACCA